rnacentral:rRNA from 1 species
UGGGGAAUAUUGGGCAAUGGGGGAAACCCUGACCCAGCAACGCCGCGUGAAGGAAGAAGGCCUUCGGGUUGUAAACUUCUUUUAGCAGGGACGAAGGACGUGACGGUACCUGCAGAAAAAGCAACGGCUAACUACGUGCCAGCAGCCGCGGUAAUACGUAGGUUGCGAGCGUUGUCCGGAAUUACUGGGUGUAAAGGGCGUGUAGGCGGAGCUGCAAGUCAGAUGUGAAAUGUCAUGGCUCAACCAUGGAACUGCAUUUGAAACUGUGGCCCUUGAGUAUCGGAGAGGCAAGCGGAAUUCCUAGUGUAGCGGUGAAAUGCGUAGAUAUUAGGAGGAACACCAGUGGCGAAGGCGGCUUGCUGGACGACAACUGACGCUGAGGUGCGAAAGCGUGGGGAGCAAACAGGAUUAGAUACC